rnacentral:rRNA from 1 species
UAGGGAAUCUUCGGCAAUGGACGGAAGUCUGACCGAGCAACGCCGCGUGAGUGAAGAAGGUUUUCGGAUCGUAAAGCUCUGUUGUUAGAGAAGAACGUUGGUAGGAGUGGAAAAUCUACCAAGUGACGGUAACUAACCAGAAAGGGACGGCUAACUACGUGCCAGCAGCCGCGGUAAUACGUAGGUCCCGAGCGUUGUCCGGAUUUAUUGGGCGUAAAGCGAGCGCAGGCGGUUCUUUAAGUCUGAAGUUAAAGGCAGUGGCUUAACCAUUGUACGCUUUGGAAACUGGAGGACUUGAGUGCAGAAGGGGAGAGUGGAAUUCCAUGUGUAGCGGUGAAAUGCGUAGAUAUAUGGAGGAACACCGGUGGCGAAAGCGGCUCUCUGGUCUGUAACUGACGCUGAGGCUCGAAAGCGUGGGGAGCAAACAGGAUUAGAUACCCUGGUAGUCCACGCCGUAAACGAUGAGUGCUAGGUGUUAGGCCCUUUCCGGGGCUUAGUGCCGCAGCUAACGCAUUAAGCACUCCGCCUGGGGAGUACGACCGCAAGGUUGA